AUUGAACGCUGGCGGCAUGCCUUACACAUGCAAGUCGAACGGCAGCGGACCUUCGGGUGCCGGCGAGUGGCGAACGGGUGAGUAAUAUAUCGGAACGUACCUUUCAGUGGGGGAUAACGUAGCGAAAGCUACGCUAAUACCGCAUAUUCUGUGAGCAGGAAAGCAGGGGAUCGCAAGACCUUGCGCUGAUUGAGCGGCCGAUAUCAGAUUAGCUAGUUGGUGAGGUAAAGGCUCACCAAGGCGACGAUCUGUAGCGGGUCUGAGAGGAUGAUCCGCCACACUGGAACUGAGACACGGUCCAGACUCCUACGGGAGGCAGCAGUGGGGAAUUUUGGACAAUGGGCGCAAGCCUGAUCCAGCCAUGCCGCGUGAGUGAAGAAGGCC
rnacentral:rRNA from 1 species